UAUAAUUAAAAUAAAAUAGUAUUUAUAUUUACGAAAUAAUGUGAGCUAAAAGAUGUACUUUUUUGGAAAUUAAGUUAGUUGUAGCAGUAUUUAAUAUAUAACUUCUUUUAGGGGCGAAAUGCUUGCCAAACAUUAGGAUAACUUGAUUAGGAUGAAAAAUAUUAAGUAUUUAAGACAAUUCAGGAUUGAUGAGGCUUCUGAAUUUCAUUAUUUUUAAUUUUUUUAUAAUAAACUGUGUAAAAACAAUUAUAUAAACUAUAAUAAAACUAAAUUUAAUAUUAAUAUGAUUAUUAUUCCUAAAUGUUAUUAAUAAAUAAAUAUAUUUAUAAUGUUAUAAUUAGUAUUUUUAAUAAUUAAUUUAUAGGAACUCGCAAACCAUUUCUCAACUGUUUAUCAAAAACAUUGCCAAAAGAUAUUAUUUUAGGUUAACCCUGCUCAAUGGUAAUCUAAAUAGCCGCAGUACCUUGACUGUGCAAAGGUAGCAUAAUCAAUUGGCUUAUAAUUGAAGUCUGGAAUGAAGGGGUUUUUGGGAAAUAACUAUCUUUAAUUUAUUUUAAAAAUUUACUUAAUAAGUGAAAAUUCUUAUAUAUUGACAAUAGACGAGAAGACCCUAGAAAUUUUUAAAAAGUAAUUCAAAGUAUUUUUUGUUGGGGCGACAUUGCAACAAAUAAACUUGCAUAAAGGGAAUUAGACCUAAUUGUAUUGAAUAAAUAAAUUACUCUAGGGAUAACAGCAUAAUUUAUUUUAAGUUUGUGACCUCGAUGUUGGACUAGGAAAUAUAUUAUUCAGAAGAUAAUUUAUUUUGCUCUGUUCGAGCAUUUUUUCCUACAUGAUCUGAGUUCAGACCGG
rnacentral:rRNA from 1 species